rnacentral:rRNA from 1 species
UACGUAGGGUGCGAGCGUUGCCCGGAUUUAUUGGGCGUAAAGGGCGCGUAGGCGGCCACGCACGUCCGUUGUGAAAUCGCUCGGCUCAACUGGGCGGGGUCAGCGGAUACGGAGUGGCUGGAGCAAGCUAGGGGGCAAUGGAAUUCCCGGUGUAGUGGUGGAAUGCGUAGAUAUCAAGAGGAACACCUGAGGUGAAGACGGGUUGCUGGGCCAACACUGACGCUGAUGCGCGAAAGCCAGGGGAGCAAACGGG